GACGUUUAAAUGCUCUUUUGAUGAAUUUGUGGGGGAGAAAGUGUUCUCCCCGUCCUACUCCUCCGCCAUCUUGGCUCCUCCUCCUCUACAGAAUUUUUAAAAGAUGUUUUAGCACCUGUAUUUCUGUCCAGUUCUUGGAAUAAACCUCAUUGCAUUUGUGAUACAGCAGAAUUUCUGGAUCAGUUUCUAUCCAUUCUUUUGCAAAAAGAUCAUCUUGGUUUUAAGCAUUUAGCAUCCAAUAUGGCUGUUCUUAAUUUGUCAUUGAGAUUAGAAUGUAUAUUUGGGUUAGAAAGUAAGAACUAGCCAUAAGCUUUUAAAAAAGAAUUUCGUUAACUGAGUCAGUCUAAAAAGAAGUUAUUUAACUGAGUCAGUCCAGAUCUCCGAAUUUCUCCCUCUAAUUCUAUGCUUCCUCUUUACAGAAAGUAGCUCUGAUUUGUAAGGAUUAUUGUCUUUGGGUCCCGUGUCAGGGAGUUAAGAGGUGAGAGCAGUUGGAUUGCAUUUUCAGGAUGCCACGUGUGCACUCUUUGAUCUGAGGUACAGUGUGCCUCAAGGAAUAACUUCAAUCUUGAUUUCUUUAGUCAAUCAUCCACUAUCAGGUACCACUGCCCUGAUUAGCAGGCUGAAGAAAAAGAGCAUAUCAUGGGUGUGUGUGUUACAAAGAUGAAAAAUAGUGAUGAGCCUGUUGGCAACAGAGUCAGCCCCUGGUUUUGCUAUGUGACAUUUGCUUUCUCUUUGCAUAGAUCCCUGUAGUGUGUGAAGGAACAAAAAUCAGUAUUUCCAUAUAUCUUUCCAUAAACUAAUGAUUUUUUUUCCAGAUAGUUUCCUUUCUUUGUUUGAUUCAUUGUUGCAGAAUGGAAACUGGAAAGAGAAUUAGCGGGGUGCAUCGUGGUGGUUUCUCAGAGAAACUCAAAUAUAGCUAGCUGCCUGCCAUUCCUGCCAUUCUGUGAACCAAGCCAAUGGCUAACUCUUGUGAAGUGUUGCAAGUCUGGAAAACUAGCACCAUAUCUGUGCUGUUUCUGUCCCCUUUAUCUGCUACAUAGAAAUAAAAUAGUUCUCUAGACCCAAAAUGCCUCAGUUGCUUGUUGUUUCUGUUUAGUUGCCAAACAAGAGUCAUGUCCCACUCUUUUGCGACCCCAUGGAUCUCGGCUUGCAUCCCGCCAGGUUCCUCUGUCCAUGGGAUUUUCCAGAUGGAAGCAGCAGAGAAGGGGCUAGAGGUGCCAAUGGCAGUGAAACUGCUGAAGAUUAGCACACUUCUUUUGAUGAAAGGUGACUUCCCAGAGGGCUGGAGAAUAAACACAUGGGCGGAAGUGCUGGUUUGGAGAAAAGGCACUGAAGUAAAUGAGAGGAGUUUUCCACUGAAGUUGAGUUCAGGGCUCAGAACUCUGAACCUGCACAGCCUGUCCAACUCAUUGCUCAUUCUCCAUCUAUGUUAACAGAACAUCAUGGAAUAGCCCUCUUGCUAACUACUAUGGUCAUAAAACCUAAUAAGAAAAGAUCAUUUGCAAUACCUAAAAUGUUUAUAAGAAGUUGACUGGCUAAACAAUUUUCUGUUUUAUUUAUAAAAUUCCUCAUAAAAUAAAGCGUUUUUAUCAUA